rnacentral:tRNA from 1 species
GGGGUUAUAGCUCAGUUGGUAGAGCACUGCAAUGGCAUUGCAGGGGUCAGCGGUUCGAGCCCGCUUAACUCCA